rnacentral:rRNA from 1 species
UGGGGAAUAUUAGACAAUGGGCGCAAGCCUGAUCCAGCCAUGCCGCGUGAGUGAUGAAGGCCUUAGGGUUGUAAAGCUCUUUCGCCAGGGACGAUAAUGACGGUACCUAGAUAAGAAGCCCCGGCUAACUUCGUGCCAGCAGCCGCAGUAAUACGAAAAAAGCUAGCGUUGUUCGGAAUCACUAGACGUAAAGCGCAUGCAAGCAGACUGAUUAGUCAAAAAUGAAAGCCCGAGACUCAACCUCGGAACUGCCUUUGAUACUGUCAGUCUUGAGUCCGGGAGAGGUGAGUGGAACUGCGAGUGGAGAGGUGAAAUUCGUAUAUAUUCGCAAGAACACCAGUGGCGAAGGCGGCUCACUGGCCCGGUACUGACGCUGAGAUGCGAAAGCGUG